GUACUUGCUUCGGCAGUACAUAUACUAAAACUGGAACGAUACAGAGAAGAUUAGCAUGGCCCCUGCGCAAGGAUGACACGCAAAAUCGUGAAGCGUUCCACAUUUUU
rnacentral:snRNA from 1 species